AAGGAUUACGAUGAGGAUUCACAGCUCCCUCUUCUGAAUUUUAAAGUUGAGGAGAAGCGCUGGCAGAAUCGAACCUAUGACUUUUAGCCAACACUGAGUAA